UACAGAGGUCUCAAGCGUUGUUCGGAUUCAUUGGGCGUAAAGGGUGUGUAGGUGGCGCGCUAAGUCGGGUGUGAAAUUUCGGAGCUUAACUCCGAAACUGCAUUCGAUACUGGCGAGCUUGAGGACUGGAGAGGAGACUGGAAUUUACGGUGUAGCAGUGAAAUGCGUAGAUAUCGUAAGGAAGACCAGUGGCGAAGGCGGGUCUCUGGACAGUUCCUGACGCUGAGGCACGAAGGUCAGGGGAGCAAACGGG
rnacentral:rRNA from 1 species